rnacentral:tRNA from 1 species
GGGCCGCUAGCUCAAUUGGUAGAGCAUUCGCCUCUUAAGCGACAGGUUGCCGGUUCGAUUCCGGCGCGGCCCA